UUUGAUCCUGGCUCAGGACGAACGCUGGCGGCGUGCCUAACACAUGCAAGUCGAACGGAGUUAAACGCUGAUUUGAAGGUAGCUUGCUACUGAAUUUUCUUGUUUAGCUUAGUGGCGGACGGGUGAGUAACGCGUGAGCAACCUGCCUUACAGAGGGGGACAACAGUUGGAAACGACUGCUAAUACCGCAUAAAGUAGCGAGAGGACAUCCUCUUGUUACCAAAGGAGCAAUCCGCUGUAAGAUGGGCUCGCGUCCGAUUAGAUAGUUGGUGAGGUAACGGCUCACCAAGUCGACGAUCGGUAGCCGGACUGAGAGGUUGAACGGCCACAUUGGGACUGAGACACGGCCCAGACUCCUACGGGAGGCAGCAGUGGGGGAUAUUGCACAAUGGAGGAAACUCUGAUGCAGCAACGCCGCGUGAGGGAAGAAGGUUUUCGGAUUGUAAACCUCUGUUUUUAGUGAAGAAACAAAUGACGGUAGCUAAAGAGGAAGCCACGGCUAACUACGUGCCAGCAGCCGCGGUAAUACGUAGGUGGCAAGCGUUGUCCGGAAUUACUGGGUGUAAAGGGUGCGCAGGCGGGACUGCAAGUUGGAUGUGAAACUCCGAGGCUCAACCUCGGAACUGCAUCCAAAACUGUAGUUCUUGAGUGGAGUAGAGGUAAGCGGAAUUCCGAGUGUAGCGGUGAAAUGCGUAGAUAUUCGGAGGAACACCAGUGGCGAAGGCGGCUUACUGGGCUCUAACUGACGCUGAGGCACGAAAGUGUGGGUAGCAAACAGGAUUAGAUACCCUGGUAGUCCACACUGUAAACGAUGA
rnacentral:rRNA from 1 species